UACGUUUGGAAUAUGAAAAUGGGGUUAACAAAUGAAAGUGGGUUGACGAGAUUAAUUAGUACAAACAAAAUUAGGGUAUUGCAAGAAUUACUUUUGUGUCUCAACCGGAUUAAUUAUAAGAUAUUACCUAAACUUUGUAGAUCUAUGUAAAUUUACUUAAUUACAUUGUUAAUCAAUAGAUUGAUAAUCCAACUAAGUACUAACUAGAUAAUUAAAUUGUAGCGCCCGGACCGAGAAAAAAAAAAGCCACGUCGGACGCCACGUCAGCAGGCCCGGUCAGCAGUCCCGGCCAACCAGGGCCUGCCACGUGGCAAGACCACGUCGCUCCGGAACGGGCCACGUUGGCGAUCCGCGUGGGCGCGAUCGGACGGCCCAGAUCAAUCGCGUGAUCGGACGGCCCAGAUACAAUCGCACGGACGGCCCAGAUUCAAUCAAAAACGAACGGCCCAGAUUAAAACAAAAUGGACGGCUGAGAUCAAAAGGCUAGGGGUUAUAAAUAGAACCCCCACACCAGACCACAAACCCUAGCCUCCUGCCGCUCGUCGGAGAAGACGAACCAGAGGCCGACCGCCGCCAUCCGCCGCCGCACCGGGGAAAUUUCCGACCGCUGAUCGAGGUAAAUUUCAUACCCCGGACUCGUUUUUCCACGCUGAUUCCUCCUGUGGCCAAAUCGAAGCCAAAAUCCCGGCCAAACGGCCGGAAUACGCGGUCGAAGACCAGCGGCGCCGCCGCGCCCCCUCUCGAUUUUUGCCUCCGACGAGGCCCUUCCCGGCCUCCGUUUGAUGCAAUUUUUAUAUCACCGUGAUCACCAUUCUUUUCUCUACAGGUUGACCGGAGCCGAAUCACCAAACCACGAACCUCGCCGGAGAGCCGCCGCACCCGAGAGCGCUGCCGCCGGUAAGCUCCGCUUCUCCGUGAUUUUUUGGCCCCCCGAGGGCCCUAGGGUUGUUUUCUCGCAGGGACCGAUGCGAGUGUGGCCAAAUUCGGCCGAAAACGGCUGAAAACAGCCAACCCGAGGCGAAUCGCCGUCGCUUGCGGCGGCGCCGUCGCCGGAGCACGGCGGAGCCGCCGUGCCGGAGUUGCGAUAUUGGCCAAAAAGGGGCCCUG
rnacentral:lncRNA from 1 species